AGUCACUGACAUUAGAUACCCUGUAGUCCAGGGUGUAAACGCUGCAGACUUGGUGUUGGAGGCCCUUUGGGGGCAUUCAGUGCCGGAGAGAAGUUGUUAAGUCUGCUACUUGGGGAGUACGUCCGCAAGGAUGAAACUUAAAGGAAUUGGCGGGGGAGCACUGCAACGGGAGGAGCGUGCGGUUUAAUUGGAUUCAACACCGUAAACUCACCAGGGAAGACUGUUACAUGAAGGCCGAGAUGAAGACUCUGCUAGAUUUUCAG
rnacentral:rRNA from 1 species